UCCGGUUUGUCACCGGCGGUCUCCUUAGAGUUCCCACCAUUACGUGCUGGCAACUAAGGACAAGGGUUGCGCUCGUUGCGGGACUUAACCCAACAUCUCACGACACGAGCUGACGACAGCCAUGCAGCACCUGUCUCACGGUUCCCGAAGGCACCCUCUCAUCUCUGAAAGGUUCCGUGGAUGUCAAGGCCAGGUAAGGUUCUUCGCGUUGCAUCGAAUUAAACCACAUACUCCACCGCUUGUGCGGGCCCCCGUCAAUUCCUUUGAGUUUCAGCCUUGCGGCCGUACUCCCCAGGCGGGGCACUUAACAUAUUAACUCCGACAGUGACGGCAUCGGACCUCCACUGCCUAGUGCCCAUCGUUUACGGCGUGGACUAC
rnacentral:misc_RNA from 1 species